rnacentral:rRNA from 1 species
UGGUGGAGUGAUUUGUCUGGUUAAUUCCGUUAACGAACGAGACCUCGACCUGCUAAAUAGUUUAGCUAACCUUUCGGGGUUGGUGUUAGACUUCUUAGAGGGACUCUCGGUGUUUAGCCGAUGGAAGUUCGAGGCAAUAACA